AUCUUAUUAAAGGAACUGCUGAUUAACCGAUGAUACGCGAUAUUUUNAACUUAGACCUAAUUUUUAUACCUCCGUCCAAAGGAUAAAAUAAAAUAUUUUAUUCACUUCUUACUCUCAAGCAACAAUGUCAGGUCAAGGUGAAGUUUAUGUUUGAGUUUCAAUGAGUUAUCAAUAAAUAUAAUUUAUGGACUUUUAUUUAAAAUUAAAAACCGAAUUAAGAUUUAAAAGUAUUUUCAAUUCAAUACGCUGAAAAGAAUAAGCAAAGAAGGUGUACAUAUCGCCCGUCGCCCUCGUCUCAAGAUGAGGUAAGUCGUAACACAGUUAAUAUACUGGAAAGUGUAUUAGGUGUAUUUCUUCUUAGCUUUUAGCUUUUCACUUACACUGAAAAGAUCUCAUUUUCUUCAAUUCCAACUUUACAAACAAAAUCUUUGCAUCUUUACUUGUCUAAUUUUGACCUUCGAAAACUGAAAAGGCCCUUCAUAACAUUAUUCAAGUAAACUCAUGUACCUUUUGUAUCAGGGAUUUUCAACUCAUAAUGUGAACCCCACAUUCCCGAAACAAGACGAACUUCGCACCCUAAUAAAUGUUGUGACAUAAACAACACAAACUCUACGAAGUUGAGAUAUUCUUUUCAAGUCUUUCUUUAUCUGGUUCACUCCCCCCCCUCAAAAUAAUACAAAGAAUAAGCUUAGUAUCAAGGUCUGCCACUUUUCCUUGCCUCAAUCUAGAUUUAACAGUAUCCACAUAGUCCUCAAACUCCUCCUUUUCUUCCUUAAAACAAUCCUCUAAGUGAUCUAUCCCCACCCCUUACAAUGAAAAUAUUAGUAAAAAAUUUUCCCUUUUCCCAUUCUUUUAAAUCUCUUCCCCUGAAUAAAUUUACAUUGACUCCAUGAACUAGGCCCUCAGUCAGUUGACUGUUUACCAAAAACAUAGCUAAUAGUCCCCAAUUAUUAGUAAUACCUGCUCCAUGAAAAAUAAAU
rnacentral:rRNA from 1 species